rfam:Trichoplax adhaerens isolate Grell Red Sea mitochondrion, complete genome.
GCCUUUGUAGGAUAACAGGUAAAUUCAGCUGUUUUGUAAACAGUCAAAUGUGGGUUCAAGUCCUGCCAAAGGCU